rnacentral:rRNA from 1 species
UACGUAGGGUGCAAGCGUUGUCCGGAAUUAUUGGGCGUAAAGAGCUCGUAGGUGGCGGGUCACGUCGGGUGUGAAAGCCCGGGGCUUAACCCCGGGUCUGCAUUCGAUACGGGUCUGCUGGGGUCCGGCAGGGGAGACUGGAAUCCUGGUGUAGCGGUGAAAUGCGCAGAUAUCAGGAGGAACACCGGUGGCGAAGGCAGGUCUCUGGGCAUUAACUGACGCUGAGGAGCGAAAGCAUGGGGGAGCGAACAGG